rnacentral:rRNA from 1 species
CCUACGGGAGGCAGCAGUGAGGAAUAUUUGUCAAUGGACGAGAGUCUGAACCAGCCACGUCGCGUGAAGGAUGAAGGCCCUAUGGGUUGUAAACUUCUUUUAUAAAGGAAUAAAACGAGGCACGUGUGCCUUUUUGCAUGUCCUUUAUGAAUAAGGAUCGGCUAACGCCGCGCCAGCAGCCGCGGUAAUACGGAGGAUCCGAGCGUAAUCCGGAUUUAUUGGGUUUAAAGGGAGCGUAGUUGGGUUUUUAAGUCAGUUGUGAAGGUUUGCGGCUAAACCGUAAAAUUGCAAUUGAUACUGGCAGUCUUGAGUGCAGUUGAGGUAGGCGGAAUGCGUGGUGUAGCGGUGAAAUGCUUAGAUAUCACGAAGAACCCCGAUUGCGAAGGCAGCUUACUAAACUGUGACUGACAUUGAGGCUCGAAAGUGUGGGUAUCAAACAGGAUUAGAUACCCGUGUAGUC